CCAGCACGUUAUGGUGGGCACUCUAAGGAGACUGCCGGUGACAAACCGGAGGAAGUGGGGAUGACGUCAAGUCAUCAUGGCCCUUACGGCCUGGGCUACACACGUGCUACAAUGGUUGGUACAACGAGUUGCGAGUCGGUGACGGCGAGCUAAUCUCUUAAAGCCAAUCUCAGUUCGGAUUGUAGGCUGCAACUCGCCUACAUGAAGUCGGAAUCGCUAGUAAUCGCGGAUCAGCACGCCGCGGUGAAUACGUUCCCGGGCCUU
rnacentral:rRNA from 1 species